CACCGCGGUUAUACGAAAGACCCUAGUUGAUAAACACGGCGUAAAGGGUGGUUAAGGAAAACAAAUAAUAAAGCUAAAGACCCUCUAAGCCGUCAUACGCAUUCCGAGAGCACGAAACCCAAACACGAAAGUAGCUUUAAGUGUUAUUACCUGACCCCACGAAAGCUAAGGAA
rnacentral:rRNA from 1 species